AGAUGUGAGGGUCAUCUGGCCGCAACAUGUGUUACCCCAUGGAUGGCUAGAGUUGAUUUGCUGAUUUGGCUAGCUAGACCUGUCUCUCUCUCUCCCGCCUCCCCCAGCUCUGUUUAGGUUCCUCUCAAAGCUGCAUGCUGACUUGAAGACGGUGACCUACAGAGGAUUACCAGUCUUUGGUCAAGAGUGGUCAAGGGCAUAUUAUCAGCUACACUCCCCUGCUAGACUAUCCAAACCAGCUCCCAAGGAAACAGGCUGUGUGGCAAAAGGCUGUUUGGAGA
rnacentral:sRNA from 1 species